AUACUUUUGGCUACUGGGGUCAAGGAACGAUGGUGACCGUUACCAGCGAGACUCCAAAAGCCCCGACUCUCUUCCCACUCAUCCCAUCUUGUGGGACUGAUACACCUCAAGAGUCCAUCACUGUGGGCUGCUUGGCCAAGGAUUUUCUUCCCGCGUCGAUCACUUUCUCCUGGCUCAAUAAUAAGGACGUCAAUGUCACCAAUGGCGUCAAGAAAUUCCCCCCUGUCAUAAGCAGUGUUGGGACCUACUCUGCUACCACUCAGCUAUCAGUCUCAGCCAAUGACUGGUCAGAAGAGAAACCCUACAUCUGCUUGGCCAAGCACCCAAAUGGAGACCAGAAGGUGUCUGUAGAUUGGACAUCUGGCCCUAUUGAGCCCCCUACUGUGUCUAUCAACCCCCCAUCCAAAGAAGACUUUGAAACCCCCUUCAGAAAUUCAACCAUCCUCUGCCGAGUCGAGGGGCUUCGUACCACAGAUGUCACCCUGAAAUGGCUGAAGAAUGGGGUUUUGGUGAAGUCUGGAUUCACCACUGUGGGCCCCAUCAGCAAAACACUCAACAGUAAGCUGACAGUCACCGAAGGAGAGUGGAAUGCUGACAGUGUUUUCACUUGCAAGGUGGACGGCAAGAACAUCAGUGAGAUGAGGAACACAAGCAAGUCAUUUGAGUGCGGCUUUGGUACAGAAGGGUCCAUUGGUAUUGAUGUGCAGACAAUCCCGCCUGCCUUUGCUGACAUCUAUCUCACCAAAUCAGCCAAGCUGACCUGCCAGGUCAUUAACAUGCCCACUGCAGAUGGGUUAAAUGUGACAUGGAUGACACAGAAUGGGAAAGUGCUGGAAACGGUCACUGGGCAGCGCGUGGUGCAACCCAAUGGCCUGUACAGUGUGCUUGCCACGACCACAGUGUGUGCAGAUGAGUGGGACAAAGAAGACAUCUACAUCUGCAUAGUGACCCACCCAGAACUCGUCUUCCCCAUUGAAAAGCGCCUGCAGAAGCAACCUGCUGCCAACAGCCAUGCUCCAUCCAUCUACGUAUUGCCACCUCCCUCUGAGCAACUGGCCCUCCAUGAAUCUGCCACAGUCACUUGUUUGGUGAAGGACUUCAACCCACCUGACUUCUUUGUCCAGUGGCUGCAGAACGGCGAGCCAAUGAGGGCUUCCAGUUACCACUGGCAAGCCUACCCUUGAAUCCCAGCAGCCACAGCUCUUCUUUGUCUACAGCACCCUGACCAUCAGCGAGCAGGACUGGAAUGCUGGCCACACCUACACAUGUGUAGUGGGACACGAGAAAUUGCCCGUGCAAGUGGCUCAGAAGACCAUCGACAAGUCCACGGCUUAUCUAGAAGCAUAUCCGGAUGCAGACGAAGAGGACUUCUACAAUCUCUGGGCAACAGCCUCCACUUUCAUCAUCCUCUUCAUCCUGAGUAUUUUCUACAGUGCCACAGUUACUUUGAUCAAGGUCAAAUGAACCCAACAGGUCAAUACAGCUCCUAUACAAGGAUAGCCACCAAUGCAGACUGUUCCUAACUUUUCUCUGCAGAAUGUCUGAGGAUGUUCCACAGCCAGAGGACUACAUCCAUUACAUGAAUGUAACUGGAUUUUUCUGGCUACUUUUUAUUUUGCUCCUUCUUUGAGGCAUCGUGAGCCUGCUUUUACAGCACAGUCACCAUCCUGUGUCUUCCAUCUGCGUUAUUAAUCUCUGCUUUAUAUCACAUGCGGCCUUUACUGAUACAAAACUAUAGCAAGAAGUUGCAUGUGAGUGGGCACCCAUAGUCAAAAUGCACACUCCCAUACUUUCAUUAG